rnacentral:lncRNA from 1 species
AUGUACACUUGCAGACAGACUGGUAAUAAAGUAUAAACAAUCGAGCUAUAAAUGUUAAUGACCUCUUAUCCAAUCAGAAAGGGGGAAUUUGAAUGCCUUAUAACUUGUGGCAAUACGAUACUUCCACGCAAAGAAGUAGUCCCCCUAAGUGUCACCUGUUUUUCUAAAAAAUACGAAAUUUUCAGACAAGCCUCACAUAUCAAUGCAAAAUAUGCUUUCUUAACUUUAAUUUAGUUCAAAACUUUUGUUUUGGAAACACUAUUUACCGGGUCGCAUCUGUUUCUGAAAAUAGCAACUUUCGGAAAAACCCAAAGGUCGCGCAUAUGUUUUCAGGUCGGCCGCCAUUUUGAAAUUUGUGAAAACAAGAGGAUACACAAUAUCGUCAAAAACCAAUAUAACUGUUGAUUCAAAAGCAUAGAAACGAUUAAAAAUGAAAUGAUUGUUUAAUCAUAACAUGUGGUGAGACCGAUCAUUGAUAAGUGACCUGAUGGUCGACCGGACAAUAAAUUAUCAAGUGCUGAUUUCAUAUUGGAGGAAAUGAUUUCAUGUACGGGCACUGGGCUGGGAAAAUCAAACCCUGGCGAUUAAACACUGACUACCCUAAAACCCGAUGAAAGUGGAAGACUUGAAAGACUAUGUGACAAUGUGGUGUAAAAAGAAGUAUGGUGCAGCCAACUGAUGCUAGGCGGAAUCUGGCAAUAACAGAAAGAAUUGGAUAUAUGCCAAUAAGUUUG